rnacentral:lncRNA from 1 species
CAUGGAUAAAAACAUAGAUCUGAUCAUAAACUCAAAGUUCAUCGGAUCCCAACAAACACACCGCAAAAAUACUUACAUCAUAUGGAUCUCCGCAGAAAGAGGAAGCCAUCUAGCUACUAACUACGGACCCUUAGGUCUACAAAGAACUACUCACGCAUCAUCGAAGAGGCACCAAUGGACAUGAUGAAUCCCUCCGUGAUGGUGUCUAUAUUGGAUCUGGUGUUUCUUGACUCUACGGCGGCUGGAAUUGAUUUUCCGCCCCCCUUCUUAGGGUUUCUGGAAUAUUUGGGUAUUUAUAGAGCAAAGAGGCGGUGCGGGAGGCCAACGAGGAGGGCACAACCCAUCGGGGCGCAUCUGGCCCCCGGGGCGUGCCCUGGUGGGUUGUGCUCCCAUCGGAGCUCCCUUGAGGUGCGUUCCUGGCCCACUGGAUGUCUUCUGGCCCAAAAAAAUCCACAAAAAGUUUCACUGCGUUUGGACUCCGUUUGGUAUUGAUUUCCUGCGAUGUAAAAAACAUGCAGAAAACGACAACUGGCACUCGGCACUAUGUCAAUAGGUUAGUACCAAAAAAUGAUAUAAAAUGAUUGUAAAACAUCCAAGAAUGAUAAUAUAACAGCAUGGAACAAUAAAAAUAUAUAGAUACGUUGGAUAUGUAUCAACUUCCUUUGAUGUUUUUAGGGUAGAUGAGAAUUUAUAAGCCAAAGAACGGAGUGAGGAGGGCCACGAGGGAGCCACAAGCCAUCAGGGUGCCCCACCAAGGUCGCGCCCUGUUGGCUUGUGGGGCCCUUGUGAGGCCUCCACGCUUCGUCCAAUGCUCAUUGGUCUUUGUUUCGUACAGAAACAUUCACCAAAAAAUUUCAAGGCAAUUGCAAUUCGUUUGGUAUGGAAAACCUGAAAAGUGAAAAACAUGCAGAAAAUAGCAACUGGCACUGGGAAGUGGAUCAAUAGGUUAGUGCUCAAAAAUAAUAUAAAUUGGUAAAUAAAUACCCUAAAAGUAUUCUAGAAUGAUAAUAUAUCAGCAUGGAACAAUCAAAAAUUAUAGAUACGUUGGAGACGUAUUAGUAUCGAGUACAGAGUUGAUCUAUCUCGAGAUCGUAUGUUGUGGUCCUAACCUUAGGAGUAAUGAACGUAAUCUGUCCUAUGAACUAAAGCCCUCUGGUUUACAUAGAUACGAGGGGUGCUAGGGUUACACAACGUCGGUUACAUCAAGGAGGGAACAUGCCGACCACCACAUGACCAUGGAGUACAUGCCAAGUCUUUGGAAGAGUCCGUCUCGAAUACAACAUCACUUCAUUUAUUCGGAGUCCAAUAAUGAUGAUAGAACGGCCCAGACUCCGACCCAUUGAAAUAGGUAAGCGGCCCGAGGACCCCUUCGUCCCAGACUCCCUUAGCGGGGCGGGCUGGUGCAGAUCCGGUAACGCGGCGGUCGUGGUCUGGCUGGUGGUGCGGGGUGGCGGCAUGGUGACCUCCCUUCUCCUGAGUUGGGGCCGGUGGCGUGCGGGGCUGGUCGGCUGCACACACGAUGACGACUCCGCUGACCUAGGUUUUGUGCUCGGGUGGGACGGAUGUUGGCCCGAGGCGGAUCGGAGUGUUCUCCGGGUAGGUGAGGUUUAGGCUCGGUCGGGAUGUACCCGUGAGUGUUGUCCUGGCGGGUGCAGUUGAUGGUGUUGGUGGUCCUGACUCUGCUUCUUCGUCGUGUCGUGCAACACCGAUGAUCUCGGAUUUGCGUCGUGCAAGCUCAGCUGGGCGACGGUCGUCGGCAGUCCUAGGGUCGUGUCCCCGGGUCCAUCGAGGCUGGCUGGGGAUACAGGCGUAGGCGCCUCGUAUUAUGGAGGUGCUGACCCAGAUGGACUGAUGUCGGGCUAGGUGUGGAAGGGCGGCCUUCUACCCUACCUGUCGGUUUUGGUGUGUUGUGUGGUGGAUGGCGGAUGGGGUCCUGGGACAGGGAUGCCGGGGUAGCGGCCCAGGGAGGUGGUCCCCAUGAGUGGCUCUCCGGCGUGGCUCAUGGCGGCGAUGGUGGCUUCUCCUCUUGGUGGUGUGGGCAGCGAGAGGUCUAGCGGCAGGUGGCUCGGGCACGUCACUCGUGGCGGUGCCCGCAUCUAGACCUGGGAGUUGGAUUGUGUCAUGUAUGUCAUGGAUAUCUCCGUGUGACAUGGAUGAGUUACCGAGCGAAAGCACCGCACUUUGGCACAGACGACGGCAAUGCCCGUGGAUGCCAUUUUCUUCUUGAAGACGUCAUUGUGGUUCUCCUCUCUGUAUCCAGGCUCCGGGUGAAGACCCUUGUCCAUUCCAUACUCGGCAGCAGCGAUGCUCUGCGCCGUUCUCCCUCAUGUGGGCAUUGUCGCGGAGCAUGGGUGUGCUAGGCGUGGCGUGGCGUUGUACUCUGUCUUUCCUUUGUUCUUAUUUGGUAGCGUAUUCUAUCCGUAUAGAUCCCAGGAUUUGCUCCGUAAGGGGUUACCUCUCCACUUUGUAUCAUUCGACUGUAUACUUUGAUUGUUGCUUUAUAUAUAAAGCGGGGCGUGAGCCUAUUCCGAGAGGCUUAGCUUUUCUACUGAUUGCAACACCAAACUAACAGCCCAACACGAACCAACUUGCGGUUGGAUGGUUAGAGUGACUAUGGUAUCCCCAAGCCACGAGGGUUCAAAUCUUGGUGCUCGCAUUUAUUCCUGAAUUUAUUUCAUAUUUUUUGGCGAUGUGCAUUCAACGGGAGGAAAUGUUUCCGUCGACGACAAGGCGCCUAUGGUGACUUCGUAAAUCUCAAGAUCAUAUGUCGGCUUAGUAUCUUGAAAUUGCUCAUAAAAGUAUGGUGUGCGUGUAUGCAUUCAUAAGGAUGAGUGUAUGUGCAUGUAUAUGAAUGCUUGCGUCUGUGAUGUGUUAAAAAAACUAACAUGCCAACCCAAGCAUUUGUAGCACCUAGGGCCAGUCCUUUUUACGUCACAAUUCUCCAUAAUGUGAUUCUGGAAACAGCACACAGAAUUGUCUGGCCACAUAAUCAGUUGUCCGGUUCUUUUCUAUGAUUCUAGUCUGUGAUUGUUGUAUGUGUUGUAUGAUGAAAUGUCAGAAAUGCCCUUAGAUUGAACUGAUAUUUCUCAUAGUUUCAUGUCUAAUAUGAACAUGGAAGCGGGUUGUAAAUUUCAUAUAACUGGAAUGUGCCGCACUAUCUCAAGUUGCUUUCAGAUGCUUCACUUUCUCCAUCUACAACAUCCCAUGCCAAUGUUUUAAUGUAUACAACAUCCAUAUAUGAAUGGAACAGUAGCACACAGAAGAUCUGUCAUCUACAAAAUUCACAGCGAAGCGAACAAGCAAAACAACAGCCCACACAGCGAACAAGCAAAACAACAGGCUAGCUGUUGACCGCACACAACGAAGCAGCAGCAGCGCAGGCGUGCUGCAUCCCAAAGCGCGGUGGUGGCCUGGUUGUUGGCCACACAACCUGUCCGUCGUAGGGAACCGCUCGCCGACGGAUCAGACGGUGCCACGACGGGGCAUCCGGCUGGCGGCGCCCUCUCCUCCUCCCGCGGGUAGGUGGCUGGGGAUCGAGGAAACCCUAUCGGGGUGGUGCCCGGGGAGUCAAGCGACAAAGGCCAACCAGAUUUGUUUUCGCUCGUGAGCUGUCAUUCGGCCGGAGUGGCAUUUUGCAUGUAAUUCGGUGCUCCAAUAGGGGUAGAGACCUAAAACAAACUGUUACCUUUUGCGGGAUCGACCAGAAUCGUGGUUUUCUGGUGAUUUUUGUUUGCAUGCCGAUUCUCGUAUGAUUUUGAAGAAGCAAAUUGAGUUCUUUUGCGAUUUCCGAUUCUCCAAACGUGAUUGCUGCGAAUCACCUCAAAAGAACUGGCCACUAGUAACUUGUAUUUUCGUUCUCACUUGACAUGGCACUCAAUCUCGACGGUGUCCUCUUCUUAUGGUGUGUGUGGCCUUGUUGAUGCAAGUCCAUAGUGUGGCACUUUUAUGGACAUAUUGUAACGGUUUUCGUCCGAAUUUUCGUUAGUUAGAGCAUCUCCAGCCGUUUGGCCCCCCAGCGCACCCGACGGAUGCCUUUUGGCGUUUGCGCCGACGCUUUUUCCACCCUCGGGCGAGCAAAUUUCCAACCGCGCCCCCAGUUAGAGCAUCUCCAGCCGUCUUUCCUGCUGCCAAAAAAAUGUCGCUAGUUCGGCGAUCAUCAUGCCACAAGUUGGCGAUCAGCAUGCCACAGUUCGGCGAUCAUCAUGCUACAAGUUGACGAUCAGCAUGCCACAAUUCGGCGAUCAAACACGCCCAUUAGUUCAGUGAUCAAAAGGAAUGAAUCAUAGACAUGGAACAAAUCAAAUGGUCGGCUCCUCUGCCGCGGGACUGGCCGGGGUCGGCGUGCGCGUGGGCGUAGUCGGGCUCGGUCUCGGUGUCGGCGUAGUCGGGCUCGGUGUCGGCGUGAUUUCUGUGCUCGGGCUCAGGCUGGGCGUCGUCGUUGGUGUUGUCCUCGUGGUCGCCGCCAGCGCGGGCAUCUCAUUUAAGAUGAGGCCGCGCUCCACGAGGUACCACGCCUUCACCUGCUCGUCCAUCUGCCGCCAUCAAGAAUGACAGGUCGGUGUUCCUCUUCUUCGCGACGACGUUGGUUCUCAGAAGGUCGAGCUUGUGUCCUGCUUCGUCAUCAACGUCAACCACUGCACGUCGGAUUUCUCCUCCCUCUUGGCGGUGUUGUUCUUGGCGUCGGCGUACAUUGCUCGAUCGAAGAUUGCAGCCGUUCGACUACGGGGUCAUGCCCCUCGUUGUCUUGGCUCUUUUGUUGCCAUCGGGGCGCCCUUCUGCCGCAGCCGGGGAAGGCGUGUCCGGAUAGUAGGCCCCCUUGGCCUUGGCGAGAGCGAGCCGAACGUCCCUCCACUUCUCGCGCGACUCUAUCCUAGAGAACACGUGAAGGAACUUGAACUCUUGGUCCUUGUUGUCUUGGUGAUACAUGUUGAACAUCCUAACCAUCUGCAUAGCCGCGGACAAAACGUGUCGGCAAAGUACACGACGACGCAAUGAACUGAGGCCGGCAAACUAUGUCCAUACCUGACCCUCGAUGUUGGUGCCGCUUUUCGGGCGACCAGCGGCCUCCUCGACGAUCACAUGCCACUUGUUGCAGGCCGUAUGGAUCGCCAACAAGUGGUUCGACAUGGCCUUCUCGUCGCGGUCCUUGUGGAUGCUGACGAAGUCGGGGUCGACCAGCUUGCGUUCGUCGAGCGCCGUCUUGAUUCUCCUCCAGUACAUGUCGAUGUUCUGAUUCGUGCCGGUAAUCGAGUCGGUGCUGACGGUCUUCCUUGGACGUCCACUUUACGUGAGGUUCGCCCGUCCCGGCUUCGACGCCCGCUUCUUCUUUCUCCUUUCAGCGCUGGUUCUGGAUCCGCCUCCGCGCGUUGUUCCUCCCCAUCCUCAUCCUCCUCGGCGUCGUCGAGCUCGUCGUCCAUGUCGACGGCAAUGUCCAUCCUUUCAUCUUGCACGUCGAACCCCAGACAUGACACGGUGGCGACGAAGCCGCUCAUGAUGAUCUCGUCCAUGUCGGCGUCGGUGUAGCUAAAUUGUGGCGCCAAGCCAAGUACAAAGGGUAGGGCAACCCGGCGCGGGCGGGGCUGAUGAGUACGCCAGCGGCGAGUAGUUGUACUUGGUGUUGAGACCAACGUUGAACGCAUGGGAGGGAGUAACUGGUCGGGGUUGAAACCGGAGGGGGAGGAACGCUGCGGCGCGCCAUGCGGGAAGGUGAUGUUGGGGUUGAAACCGCCAUGUGUGUCGCUGUCAGAGUAGCCACACGAGGGUGCGUACCCCUAGGAGGGCGGCAACGACAGAGAGAAGUUGGCCGACGACGCGACGCUCGCUCCCCCACGCGACCUGCGGGUAGUGGUCAGGCUGAUUCAUCAUCUCCGUGCAAGGCACCCUGUCCGUGCUCGGCCGUCGCCGUCGCGUCGCUAGCCUUCUUGGCGAUGAGACUGUUCCGCCGGUCGGUUGUGAUCGCCUCCCGACGCUGGACAUUCGUAUUCCACACGAUGUUCGACACGCCGGCGGUCUUACAUCGACAUCCUCAACUUUGGCUGGGUGGAAUCGACAGCAGCAGCGAGGCAAGGGGCAGAAUACCUCUUCGAUGGCAUGACAGCCGAAUGAAGGGAGCAGGAAGAGAAUGACGGGAGCGACCAGGGAGAAGGGGAAGCAAUGAGGAAAAUGGAGGGAAGGUGGAAAAAGCGACAGGAAUAGGCCCAUCUAUCGCCGACAACACGAGCCUUUUCACUUCGGCCGAUGCCCUAGACAACCACCGACAGGCUGGGUUCGGCUCGAGUUCACCGGUCAUCAUUUCGACCCAAAUCAGCGAUAAACGAGGAAUUGGGGGCUUGGCUGGAACGAUUUUUCACCAUCGACACUAAAAAAGACGCACUACGAGGCCUGUUGGGGGCGAGUGGAGAUGCUCUUAACCAGGCAACUCCAUUCCACCUUUUUUUUAACGAAUCAAGCCUUAAAAGACCGCAUUUAAAUAAAAAAUGGUUAGCCCGAAUCUUGUGCCACAAAAACCAAAAUGGGCUGAUUACAUAAACGUUACCGCAGAUUAUUCUGAAGAAGGCACGGGUGCUUGUGCCUACGAGAAUGUCUUGCCCUUCCUUGCAGGCGGCGGAUGCUAUGAACUUGGCGGGACGAAACUGCUAGAAUUAAUAAUUACCAUCCGGGCCCACUAAAUUAUCAUCCCAUCCCAGCCAACCAAAAAACUCUACAGUACAACUUAUCAUCCCAGCCCACCAAAAAAAUCGUAAGGCAUGCCCCCGCCUUCGAAGCCGUGCUUCAAAGCUAAAUCCCUGGAUUAGCCUCAAGUUUUCAUGUCAGUCGGUUAGGAUCAAAUCCAUGCAUAACUCCAUCCUUCAUAAAAUUAAAGAAGCCGUUUGCAGGUACAUCAUCAAUCUUCAAAAGUGACAGUGUCAGUCAGGAUGCACACCUGAAUCCAUCCUUCCAGCAAGGCUGCAACUACUGAAGGGUGUGUUUGUAAGUUACAUCAAUCUUGAAAAAUGGUUGUUAACAGUGCAAGCUCAGNNNNN